rnacentral:rRNA from 1 species
UACGGAGGGUGCAAGCGUUAAUCGGAAUUACUGGGCGUAAAGGGCACGCAGGCGGUUAAUUAAGUCGGAUGUGAAAUCCCCGGGCUCAACCUGGGAACUGCAUUCGAAACUGGUUAACUAGAGUCUUGUAGAGGGGGGUAGAAUUCCAUGUGUAGCGGUGAAAUGCGUAGAGAUGUGGAGGAAUACCGGUGGCGAAGGCGGCCCCCUGGACAAAGACUGACGCUGAGGUGCGAAAGCGUGGGGAGCAAACAGG